rnacentral:rRNA from 1 species
GAUGAACGCUGGCGGCGUGCUUAACACAUGCAAGUCGAACGAAGCACUUUAUUUGAUUUCCUUCGGGACUGAUUAUUUUGUGACUGAGUGGCGGACGGGUGAGUAACGCGUGGGUAACCUGCCUUGUACAGGGGGAUAACAGUUGGAAACGGCUGCUAAUACCGCAUAAGCGCACGGCAUCGCAUGAUGCAGUGUGAAAAACUCCGGUGGUAUAAGAUGGACCCGCGUUGGAUUAGCUAGUUGGUGAGGUAACGGCCCACCAAGGCGACGAUCCAUAGCCGAGCUGAGAGGGUGACCGGCCACAUUGGGACUGAGACACGGCCCAAACUCCUACGGGAGGCAGCAGUGGGGAAUAUUGCACAAUGGGCGAAAGCCUGAUGCAGCGACGCCGCGUGAGCGAAGAAGUAUUUCGGUAUGUAAAGCUCCAUCAGCAGGGAAGAUAAUGACGGUACCUGACGAAGAAGCACCGGCUAAAUACGUG